GAUGAACGCUGGCGGCGUGCCUAAUACAUGCAAGUCGAGCGAACAGACGAGGAGCUUGCUCCUUUGACGUUAGCGGCGGACGGGUGAGUAACACGUGGGUAACCUACCUAUAAGACUGGGAUAACUUCGGGAAACCGGAGCUAAUACCGGAUAAUAUUUCGAACCGCAUGGUUCGAUAGUGAGAGAUGGCUUUGCUAUCACUUAUAGAUGGACCUGCGCCGUAUUAGCUAGUUGGUAAGGUAACGGCUUACCAAGGCAACGAUACGUAGCCGACCUGAGAGGGUGAUCGGCCACACUGGAACUGAGACACGGUCCAGACUCCUACGGGAGGCAGCAGUAGGGAAUCUUCCGCAAUGGGCGAAAGCCUGACGGAGCAACGCCGCGUGAGUGAUGAAGGUCUUCGGAUCGUAAAACUCUGUUAUUAGGGAAGAACAAACGUGUAAGUAACUGUGCACGUCUUGACGGUACCUAAUCAGAAAGCCACGGCUAACUACGUG
rnacentral:rRNA from 1 species